rnacentral:rRNA from 1 species
CCAGACUCCUACGGGAGGCAGCAGUGAGGAAUAUUGGUCAAUGGGCGCGAGCCUGAACCAGCCAAGUCGCGUGAGGGAAGACGGUCCUAUGGAUUGUAAACCUCUUUUGUCGGGGAGCAAAAGACGCCACGCGUGGCGUUCCGAGAGUACCCGAAGAAAAAGCAUCGGCUAACUCCGUGCCAGCAGCCGCGGUAAUACGGAGGAUGCGAGCGUUAUCCGGAUUUAUUGGGUUUAAAGGGUGCGUAGGCGGGACGGUAAGUCAGCGGUAAAAAUGCGGAGCUCAACUCCGUCGAGCCGUUGAAACUGUCGGACUAGAGACGGCGAGAAGUACGCGGAAUGCGCGGUGUAGCGGUGAAAUGCAUAGAUAUCGCGCAGAACUCCGAUUGCGAAGGCAGCGUACCGGCGCCGGACUGACGCUGAGGCACGAAAGCGUGGGUAUCGAACAGGAUUAGAUACCCGAGUAA